CAUAGGUCUUGUCGGGAGACCCAACGAGGGUCAAACUUUUUUCCUUUAGUUCCUCCAAGACAGGACUCCCAGGUCCUCUCCAGACCUCCUCCUGGGCUGCAGGGUGGCCAUUUCAGAUGCAUACAGGUCAGAGUGACACACCACCCACUCCUGAGAGCUGAAUGGGCUUCCAGGAAGAUGGUCAACAGUGAUAAGCACCGUCCACACACUAUACCCCAGGCCACCAACAAGGGGAGACAGCAUAAAGCCAGCUGCAGCCCAGCUCUGGCCCAGGAAAGACAACUACGCCACCCAGUGCUUAGGAAGAACAAACUGAUUCCUCACAUCUCACUUCCUGGACAUUUCCACACUUGGCUCUGUGCCCUCGUACACAGUAGGUGCUCAGCAAAGACUCUGAAUUGCUGUGGUCUGGAGCCCACCUCUACACAAGGAAGGAGCAACUCCACUCCCCCACAUCCCCAAGCAACACAGUGCCUGAACAACACGGGAAGGUCUCAAACAAGCCUCACACUUACCCUCUCCACAUUUCUUUUUGACCAAAAUGUUCCAUGACUCUAAAUGCUGAGAACAACAGCAAGCAAGCAAGAGGAAGAAUAUUUAAGAAAAACGAACAUUAACAGCUCUUUAUCCCAAGCACUUUAUUCCUAGAAAUUUAUCCUAAAAAAACAUUUAAGACACCAGAAAACCUA
rnacentral:lncRNA from 1 species